rnacentral:rRNA from 1 species
AGCAGUCGCCGCGGGAAUACGAAGGGGGCUAGCGUUGCUCGGAAUCACUGGGCGUAAAGGGUGCGUAGGCGGGUCUUUAAGUCAGGGGUGAAAUCCUGGAGCUCAACUCCAGAACUGCCUUUGAUACUGAAGAUCUUGAGUAUGGGAGAGGUGAGUGGAACUGCGAGUGUAGAGGUGAAAUUCGUAGAUAUUCGCAAGAACACCAGUGGCGAAGGCGGCUCACUGGCCCAUAACUGACGCUGAGGCACGAAAGCGUGGGGAGCAAACAGGAUUAGAUACCCCCGUAGUCCCUGUCUCUUAUAC